GCCGGAGUGGCGGAAUUGGCAUACGCAGGGCCCUCAAAAGGCCCCGGUCGCAAGGCCUUGUGGGUUCGAGUCCCACCUCCGGCACCG
rnacentral:tRNA from 1 species